AUUGAACGCUGGCGGCAGGCCUAACACAUGCAAGUCGAACGAGUGGCGGACGGGUGAGUAAUGUCUGGGAAACUGCCUGAUGGAGGGGGAUAACUACUGGAAACGGUAGCUAAUACCGCAUACCAUCAGAUGUGCCCAGAUGGGAUGAGCUUGUUGGUGGGGUAACGGCCCACCAAGGCGACGCUCCCUAGCUGGUCUGGGAGGAGGACCAGCCACACUGCGACUGAGACACGGUCCAGACUCCUACGGGAGGCAGCAGUUGGGAAUAUUGCACAAAUGGCGCAAGCCUGAUGCAGCCAUGCCGCGUGGAUGAAGAAGGCCUUCGGGUUGUAAAGAACUUUCAGCGGGGAGGCGGUACCCGAAGAAGAAGCCCCGGCUAACUUCGUGCCAGCAGCCGCGGUAAUUC
rnacentral:rRNA from 1 species